GAUCAUGGCUCAGGAUGAACGCUAGCUACAGGCUUAACACAUGCAAGUCGAGGGGAAACGACAUCGAAAGCUUGCUUCCGAUAGGCGUCGACCGGCGCACGGGUGAGUAACGCGUAUCCAACCUGCCAACCACUUGGGGAUAACCUUGCGAAAGUAAGACUAAUACCCAAUGAUAUCUCUAGAAGACAUCUGAAAGAGAUUAAAGAUUCAUCGGUGAUGGAUGGGGAUGCGU
rnacentral:rRNA from 1 species